CAUGAUCAAGACUCCAAUCCC
rnacentral:misc_RNA from 1 species